rnacentral:rRNA from 1 species
AAUAGAUACCCGGGUAGUCCAUGCCGUAAACGUUGGGCGCUAGAUGUGGGGACCAUUCCACGGUUUCCGUGUCGCAGCUAACGCAUUAAGCGCCCCGCCUGGGGAGUACGGCCGCAAGGCUAAAACUCAAAGGAAUUGACGGGGGCCCGCACAAGCGGCGGAGCAUGCGGAUUAAUUCGAUGCAACGCGAAGAACCUUACCAAGGCUUGACAUAUACGAGAACGCUCUAGAAAUAGAGAACUCUUUGGACACUCGUAUACAGGUGGUGCAUGGUUGUCGUCAGCUCGUGUCGUGAGAUGUUGGGUUAAGUCCCGCAACGAGCGCAACCCUCGUUCUAUGUUGCCAGCGGUUCGGCCGGGAACUCAUAGGAGACUGCCGGGGUCAACUCGGAGGAAGGUGGGGAUGACGUCAAAUCAUCAUGCCCCUUAUGUCUUGGGCUUCACGCAUGCUACAAUGGCCGGUACAAAGGGCUGCAAUACCGCAAGGUGGAGCGAAUCCCAAAAAGCCGGUCUCAGUUCGGAUUGAGGU